UAAUAUGAUUAAAGGUACGUUCAAACUGUUUUAUUAUAUAUGUUAGCUAUUCAAGUUUGUUUGUCUUGUCCCAUAUUUCACAACUUCAGUUGUUUUCUAGUAAGCUUCUCGUUACAAGUUGGUAGUUCUGAAGGUUUCUUUAUUCUUUCUUUCUGUGUUAGUCUGUUAUUCAAUGUUCGAUUUUAUUUUACAUUGUACUUAUCCCAUUUUUUCUCUCUUUUUCUUUUUCAUGUACCUUGCGAGCAUACGAUGACCGAAAAAGUCAUUGUAUCAGCCAACACACGUGUAUUUUUCACAAAGCCGCGAAACAGAACAAGUAUUUUUAUAAGUGCGUGAAUAACAAUCGGUCGUAGAAGCUCAAAAAAUGUGAGAACAAUAUC